UGGUCCUCCAAAAGGAAAGACCCAAGAUACUGCAGCCAAAAAGUCUCAUGAGGCAGAUGAAUUCCUGAGAGAAACACAGAAGGAAGCACCCGGAGGACAAGUGAUGGACCAAAAGGCUGUUCAGAAGGAGGAACAGCCAGGGAGAAGCAGUGGCUCAUUGGCAGCCCCUGCUGCAGGAAGGAAGGCAAUGACAGACACGGGCACAGGCACAGCAGAUGCAGCCGGCACCACAAGACCUGUUCCCAAUGCCCAGGAUGGCCUCAGAAGGGGUUUCUGUCAGGGAACAGGCUGCUGGCUACUGUUACUGGCAAGUGUGCUUUGUUUGGGGCUUGUGUUCAUGUUGUACUGCUUUGGAAUCGGGUAUUCCUGGAAGAGAAAACAGUGAGUGUUUUGUUGCUCUCCCCCUCAAACAACAUGUUUUGGAAGUCUAAUUUGGACGGGGAACAUUCCCAUUGAGGCUGCAGUGGAGUUGUGGCCAGUCCAUGAUUGUCCAAACAACUCUGCUGAGGGUUCGGCUGCUGCCCAGUGCUUCCAUUGGCCUCUCAAUUGCUGGGCCUUGU